rnacentral:rRNA from 1 species
UACGGGGGGGGUAAGCGUUGUUCGGAAUUACUGGGCGUAAAGGGCUCGUAGGCGGCCAACUAAGUCAGACGUGAAAUCCCCCAGCUUAGCUGGGGAACUGCGUCUGAUACUGGAUGGCUUGGAUUCGGGAGAGGAAUGCGGAAUUCCAGGUGUAGCGGUGAAAUGCGUAGAUAUCUGGAGGAACACCGGUGGCGAAGGCGGCAUUCUGGACCGAUAUUGACGCUGAGGAGCGAAAGCCAGGGGAGCAAACGGG